rnacentral:rRNA from 1 species
UAGGGAAUCUUCCACAAUGGGCGCAAGCCUGAUGGAGCAACACCGCGUGAGUGAAGAAGGGUUUCGGCUCGUAAAGCUCUGUUGUUAAAGAAGAACACGUAUGAGAGUAACUGUUCAUCGUUGACGGUAUUUAACCAGAAAGUCACGGCUAACUACGCGCCAG